rnacentral:rRNA from 1 species
UACGAAGGGUGCAAGCGUUAAUCGGAAUUACUGGGCGUAAAGGGUGCGUAGGCGGUUCGUUAAGUCUGUCGUGAAAUCCCCGGGCUCAACCUGGGAAUGGCGAUGGAUACUGGCGAGCUAGAGUGUGUCAGAGGAUGGUGGAAUUCCCGGUGUAGCGGUGAAAUGCGUUGAUAUCAUCAGGAACACCGGUGGCGAAGGCGGCUUUCUGGGUCUUACCUGACGCUGAGGAACGAAAGCCAGGGGAGCGAACGGG